UUAGUGCGGCGCGUUGUGAGAGCUGCACAGAGCGGCAGCAGGAGGAGCAGAAACAGGGAGCUGCAGCGCAAAACUCGCUCAAACACUCGGUAUUGUGCAAACUGUUCAAAACAAGAGGAAGGAACUGUUCGAGCUCAUCCGUGAGUGUCCGGUGAAGCGCGGAGAAGCGACCCUGGGAACCCGAGCUGUGUUUAUUCUUUUCUUUUCUCGUGUGGGUUUUUUGGAUACCCUGGAUUUUGGAUGGAACUGGAUUCUCUCCCUGACGAGGGGGAUGGCGAGCCAGCCGUGUGAACAUCUGGGCUGAAGAGGACCCUCUCCUCUUUCAUCUGUCGUCCUGUCGGUGUGGUAGGACCGAGAAAGACUCACAGAAAUUGAGAGGAACUAUUCUUUUUUUUUUUUAUUAUUUUAGGAAAAGAAGAGACUUUAUUUUUUUUAAUAUUUAAUUUAAAAGACACUUUAAAAGAAAACAAACUGAAAGCUGCCUGUAUUUAUAAAAGUGCUUUUUUUUUUAUGUGUAUUAAUACAUUGAUCUUGUUUAAUCUUA